UACAGAGGUCUCAAGCGUUGUUCGGAUUCAUUGGGCGUAAAGAGCUCGUAGGCGGUCUGUCGCGUCGGUCGUGAAAACCUGCAGCUUAACUGUGGGCUUGCGGUCGAUACGGGCAUGACUGGAGUUCGGCAGGGGAGACUGGAAUUCCUGGUGUAGCGGUGAAAUGCGCAGAUAUCAGGAGGAACACCGGUGGCGAAGGCGGGUCUCUGGGCCGAUACUGACGCUGAGGAGCGAAAGCGUGGGGAGCGAACAGG
rnacentral:rRNA from 1 species